rnacentral:rRNA from 1 species
AACGAACGCUGGCGGCAUGCCUAACACAUGCAAGUCGAACGAAGCCUUCGGGCUUAGUGGCGCACGGGUGCGUAAAGCGUGGGAAUCUGCCCUUGGGUUCGGAAUAACAGUUAGAAAUGACUGCUAAUACCGGAUGAUGUCUUCGGACCAAAGAUUUAUCGCCAGAGGAUGAGCCCGCGUAGGAUUAGGUAGUUGGUGGGGUAAUGGCCCACCAAGCCGACGAUCCUUAGCUGGUCUGAGAGGAUGAUCAGCCACACUGGGACUGAGACACCGCCCAGACUCCUACGGGGGGCAGCAGUGGGGAAUAUUGGACAAUGGGCGAAAGCCUGAUCCAGCAAUGCCGCGUGAGUGAUGAAGGCCUUAGGGUUGUAAAGCUCUUUUACCAGGGAUGAUAAUGACAGUACCUGGAGAAUAAGCUCCGGCUAACUCCGUGCCAGCAGCCGCAGUAA